UCUCUCUCUCUCGUUGACUCCUUUGUUCUCGCUGGUGCUGCUGAACAUGAUUGUUGCACUCACCGGACUUACGAUGCACCAUCUGCUUGCCGUUGUAGCUCCGUCUGGAUUUUGCUGGUUUGCCACACAAGUGUCGGUGCACUGUCUUGUCGCCGGAACAAACCUCGCUUGUUGUGUUGUUCGUCCAUGCUCCAAAUGAGCAGAGGAUGAUUUUGGAGUGAAGAAUCAUUCGGGAUUAUGAAGUUGAUUGUGUUGUUGGACUUGGAUGCGUUCAGGUUCGGUAUCACGAGCUCGAGAAUGGAAGUGAAGCUAGAUUAUGAUGUUGUCGUAGAUUAUGGAUUAAGUUUGUAUUUUAGACAACUGAUUUGAGAAUAGUUAUUUAUAUUUCAUUGUAUAUAAUAUUUGGAAAUAUUAGUCGAGAUAUUGGUGUAA